GAAAAAAGAAAUUAGUUAAUUUACCUUUUGUAUCAGGGUUUUUUAAAAAAAAUAAUUAUUUAUAUUUCUCGAAUCAGUAGUGAGCUAAAAAAUUUAUUUUUGUUUAAAUAAAGAAUUUAUUAAAUUAGUAAUGAAAUGUUGUCGUAUUCUGGGGUAUCUAGUUAUUUAAGUAAGUUGUUAAAAAUUGAUUUUAAAUCAGUCUAAUAGAAGAGUUAAUUUUUUUAUUUUAUUAUGUUAAAUUUGAAAUGAGAUAAAUUAGGUUUAAUAUUGGCCAUAUUCAUAUAUUGUUAUAAAUAAUUUUAAUAUACGGUAAUUUUACUAUGUAAGUUUAAAUUGUUUGAUUUUGUUUUAUAAUUUUUGUAGUAAUGAAAAAAUUAGUAUUAGAUUAUGAUUAUACUAUUUAACUCGAAGUUUAUUUGAUAGUUUAGCAAAAACAUUUCUUUUAGUUAAUUUAAAGUAAGGCCUGCCCAGUGAUUUUUAACGGCUGCGGUAUUUUAACUGUACUAAGGUAGCAUAAUAAUUUGUUUUUUAAUUGAAAACUGGAAUGAACGGUCUUACAAAUAAUUAUUAUAAUGGUUAGAGUUUAAUAAUUUUUAUUUUGAAUAAAAAUAUUCAAAUAUAAUAAAGGGACGAUAAGACCCUAAAAGCUUUUUUAUGACUGUGGUUAUUUGUUUGAUAAGGGCAGUGGUAAAUUUAGUUGGGGUAACGAAGGUAUAAUUAUUACUUUAUAAAAUACAGUUAUUUGUGGAUCUUGGGUCUUUUAUGUGAAGAAAAAUAGAAUUAGUUACUUUAGGGAUAACAGCGUAAUAAUUUUAGAAAGGCCUUAUUAAUAAAAUUGAUUACGACCUCGAUGUUGAAUUAAAAGAUCUAUUUAUUGUAGUAGGUAAAUAAGGGGGUUUGUUCAACCUUUAAUUUUUUACAUGAUUUGAGUUCAAAU
rnacentral:rRNA from 1 species